CUUCAUUCCAGAUCUCCAGCACAGGAACGCGCAUAUCGCCGCGUCCUUGGUCUGGAAUGAUGAUCACGCGAAUUGGGAGUGUCGAGUGCUCUGGGAAAAUAGCGAUGCCCGCGCUGUCGUCAUGCGCGCGCUCAAUACGAAUGUUUCAGGAAGCGCACUGAACGCAGAUUGAUUUUCUGCAUCGAUUUUCAUCACGCCGGCGUGAGCCGAACAAACCACAGCAUUGAAGCCCCCCGAUCCCUCAUGCGCGCACAACAAGCAACAAUUUGCCGACGCGCAUUCAUUUCACGC
rnacentral:misc_RNA from 1 species